rnacentral:rRNA from 1 species
CCUACGGGAGGCAGCAGUGAGGAAUAUUGGUCAAUGGACGAGAGUCUGAACCAGCCAAGUAGCGUGAAGGAUGACUACCCUAUGGGUUGUAAACUUCUUUUAUAUGGGAAUAAAACGUUCCACGUGUGGGAUUUUGUAUGUACCAUAUGAAUAAGGAUCGGCUAACUCCGUGCCAGCAGCCGCGGUAAUACGGAGGAUCCGAGCGUUAUCCGGAUUUAUUGGGUUUAAGGGGAGCGUAGGUGGAUUGUUAAGUCAGUUGUGAAAGUUUGCGGCUCAACCGUAAAAUUGCAGUUGAAACUGGCAGUCUUGAGUACAGUAGAGGUGGGCGGAAUUCGUGGUGUAGCGGUGAAAUGCUUAGAUAUCACGAAGAACUCCGAUUGCGAAGGCAGUUCACUGGACUGCAACUGACACUGAGGCUCGAAAGUGUGGGUAUCAAACAGGAUUAGAUACCCUAGUAGUC